CCUUCGGGUGGCUGCAGUAGGGAAUUUUCGGCAAUGGGGGGAACCCUGACCGAGCAACGCCGCGUGAAGGAAGAAGGAAUUCGUUCUGUAAACUUCUGUUAUAAAGGACGAAAGACGGAUGGAGGAAAUGACAUCCGAGUGACGGUACUUUAUGAGAAAGCCACGGCUAACUACGUGCCAGCAGCCGCGGUAAUACGUAGGUGGCCAGCGGUAUCCGGAAUUAUUGGGCGUAAAGAGGGAGCAGGCGGCAGCAAAGGUCUGGGGUAAAAGACUGAAGCUUAACUUCAGUAAGACAUGGAAACGGGGCAGCGAGAGUGGAGGAGAGGAACGUGGAAUGCGAGGUGUAGCGGUGAAAUGCGUAGAUA
rnacentral:rRNA from 1 species